AGAAGCAUUUGCUUACUGAUAGCAGCAUGGAAUACUGAGCACAAGGAAGUCAGAUACAGAUGAAGAUACAUCUUCAUGGUCCUGAAUAUGACAACAAGAUGAAUUUAAGUCAAAUCCUGAUGCAAAGCUAAACCUGCCAGUAACAUCUAUGGAGCAGCCAAAGGCAUCUCAUCAAGCGGUUGAGCCUGACCAGUGGAUCUGUGAAGCCCAUGUUACAAGCAGACACUGCAAAGCCAUGAAGAUUAUUUGAGUCAUUCUGGAUUUGCUGUGGGACAAAAAACACAGGAUGUGGCCAGAUCCAGCAAACAUACUUUUCAAUCAGAUUUACAUAAAAUCCACUCCUUCACCCACCAGACACACAUACAAAAAAAACAAAAUAAUAAUCAUAUCAAAACAGAACUGAUUGUGAAACCUCCUUUUGUCCUGUGAGAAUUUCAGAUUUCAGAAGUUUUACCAUCAAAACUUGAUAAUUCUUGCAGGCCAGUAAUCCAUGAAGAAUUCACCAUAGGUCUUUUGAGAUAUUUUUCAUGCUUUAGGUCCUUUUAAUAAUGGAAAUAAUAAUAAUAAAAAAUAGAGUAAUAAGCAAUGCAACAGCAAGAGCUAUUGCAAAGCAAAAGUAAAACAUUUCCCUCAAAGAAACUCAAAGCUGUAUACAAAUAUUUCAAAAGACAUUUAUUUAUUUAUGUGUUUAUGCACGUAGGUAUUUAUUUUUUAAGAACCUGAAGGAAACAACUGCCACUUGGUGAGUCAGGGCUCUUUCUAGGAAAAUAUGUUAGCCAAAAAUUCUCAAUGAAUUCUAAUCCACAAAUUCCAUCAUUCCUCAUUUCCCGUACACGCAACUGAGAGGAAGAGAGAAGAGAGAGAGAAAUUUAUGAAGUGUUGCCAAUGGAAUGUAAAAUCCCAGUUUCAGGCUCUUUUGCUUUCUUCAGUGACCUAAUUUGCUCCUGAAAACCCUCAGCCCCACUCUCAGCUGCUCUGCAAGGGAUGGUCUCCACAUGCAAGGACACAAGUAGGUCUGCUUGGAUGUCUUGUGGAGAAGGAGUGUUAGCGUAAGGAAUUAAUGACUUGAUGUGGUCUACAAGAAUUCAGCAUGAACCUGAACCUCACCUGGCAUCCAGAUGAACGGCCUGGGCAGAAGAGUAGUCAUCCUCUGCAAUUCUUGUUCUCUCUCUGGUCGUGCUUCUGGGAUAGCAUUGUAUAUACUACAAAGUGGUUGCUUCCACUUCUGCCCCCCCCCCCCCCCUCCCCUUUUUUUUUCUAUACUUUCAACCUAUUCCUAACCUGAUCUAUUCAAAAUGAAGAAAGGAAAUGGAAUAAAAACUUUCUUAUUAAGUAGUUUUUGGGAACAUUUGAGAGAAAUGCUUAAAAAUUCCUCUGCAGUGAAUUUUCUCUGAAAUGAAGGUAGGAUCCCAGCUGUAAAUCAGGCUGGAUUCUUUUCUAAAUCUAGGCUUACAAUUGCCAUAAACUCAAUCAUUUGCGUUGUCCUUAAACAGAGGGUCCAAGAUUUCCAGACCACUUAGACACUCUGUGACUGAAAUGGUUGUCUGUAACUCAGAACUCAGACAAAAUGAGAGCUUAGUUGCCCUGUUGUCAGUAUUUCUUCACCUCUUCACAAAAUAGUCAAAAUUUUCCCCAUGUGAUCAAAGGAUCUUUAGAUAUCCAAACUAUAAGCUUAAUCCUGGAGCAAGAUGUCCAUCCAUACAGAGGUAGCCCAAAGGUGCAGCGUGAUGAAUCAGGAAGGAAAUUACUCCAUCAGUUUUGAGAGGGAACCCAACCCAUACAUCCACCAAGAGAAAAAAAAAAAAUCACAUUUUCCAGGUUAAUUUUCCUGGAAAGCUCCAUUCAGAGACUAUUCAAAUUCGAAUAGCCUGUUCAGUUUAAACUGGCUUUUUUACCAAAUGCUGGGCAUUUUCUGCAUCAGACUAAUUUCAUUAUAGAGAACAUCUUGCUCUUUUACUCAAAUAUUUUCUUUAAUUCAGAAGAUGGCAGAAAUCAUAGAAUCAUAGAAUGGCCUGGGUUGAAAAGGGCCAUAAUGAUCAUCUAGUUUCAAUCCUGCUGCCAUGGACAGGGCUGCAAACCACUAGACCAGGCUGCCCAGAGCCACAUCCAGCCUGGCCGUGAAUGCCUCCAGGCAUAUGACAGAAAUGACAUAAUAAAAAAAUGAAACCAGGGAUCCUAAUAAUUAGUUAACUAAUUAUGGACUUUGCCGUGGGAUCACUCUGUGACAUUUGAAGGAAGAUGCCUGUACAUUAGGUUCUGUUUGGCUUAAAAGUUCAGAUCUAAUGCUAAGAAUGUCUUUAUGUAGAAUAAGACAAUGACUGAACAUGCCCACAUGAUAAUAACAGGCAAAGAAACCCAUGGAGAUGCAUUCUACUGACCUGAAGGAAUGCACACUAAUGGCAAAAAGGAGAAAACUGCAUCUCUGGAGAGUAAAUCAAAUCCUUCUGGGUAAAGUGGUUAUUAAGAAAUGAGCAACCACUGGAAUCUCAGUUGUGCUACCAGAGUCAUGCUCCUUACCUUGACCCUCCAAUUCGAACCACAGAGAACCUGUCCUGAAGACAUAUGAUCAGAUCUACUCUCCUAAAUUCUGAAUUAAUCAGGGGAUAGUGCAUAGGUUGGAAAGAGUUCAUGUCACCUUAUUUUUCAAAAAUCAUAUAUUCUGAAGAAUACUUUAAUACAAUACUUAAAUUCACAGUAUUUUUCAGACUCUGCUUGGCUGUGGAUAGAUAUUUCCCAUUCAGACGUAAGUAUGCUUGAUGCAUAAUGACACACUGAAAAAUAGAAACACAGAAAUUGAACAUUUUAAGGCAGUAAUUCACCUCAAAGAAACUCCUUUGUAAUAGCUGAUCUGUUCUGUCAGAUAACUGCAAGGUUCUUUAGGACAAUGAUGACCUCAGUGGAAGACAUUCAAGCAGUCUUGUGUCUUCUGUAGGGCAGGAACCUUGCAAAGCACUUAGCUCAUCCUGAAUCAGGACCUAAGCCUGGAAGGAGGCAAAUCCUGCAGGCUGCUAGGGUGAGGGAAACUGAAAAUGACCUCUUGCUGUCAAAUUUCACUCAUUCGUUUUAACCCAAGGUUUCCCCAAGGCUGCAGAACAAAUUCCUUCUGUGCAGGAAGUGCUCGUGCUAAUCCAGAGGUUCAAAGCCUGUAUGAGGAAAUAUAAUGCUUCCUCCAGGGACUUUUCAGAGGAGAGUGGUUGACCACAAGAAAAUAAAAUCUCCUGCAGCUGAUCGUAAGCCUGUGUGAGAGGGCUGCUGAGGAGUCACCUAGGAAUGACUGCAAUUCCUGUUUAUGAGUCAGCAGGGAAGGAGCAGCCCAAGUCAGAUUUUGGGAGAUGCCUGCGCUGUCUGCCUCUUUUCAGACCAUGGGAACACUGCAAGGAAAAUAAUGAGGAGAUAUGAGGUUAAGGAAUGUGGGAAUUCAAGGUUCUAUAGACCAUGCUUAUGGAUGGAUUGAUGUAGCUGCCUGCUAGGCAUGACAACACCUGCAGCAAGCAGAGAUGUGAGCUCUGAUCCAGCAUUGCUGCGUCAUGUUAAGGUAAGGCACUUUGACUUUCUUCCACAUCUUGGUUUUCAAAGAGAGAAAAAUCUUGUGGGCAUGAAUUGCCUCAAUCUAUGUCUGUAUAAUGUCUGUUUUAGUGAAUCUGAAUUCAAGAAUUUUGAAUUUUCCCAGACAAGUGUUAGAUCAAACCUACAGUCUCAUUCCACUAAGAGAACAUCAGUUCAUUUGUAUCUCCACUGGAUUUAAAGGACUUUCUUCUAAGCAUCUGUACCCUUCCCAACACAAAGCUAAGGACUGAGGCUUCAAGUGGAACUCAAGUUCUUUAAAAAAAAAAAAAAAAAAGAUUCAAUCCAUCUGGAUGUGCUGACUUCAUUGUGGAUCUCUUCUGAACUGGUAUAUUUCCCUAGGUAACUGGUUGGGGUUCUCUUAUACUUUAAAGCACUGAUAAAUUUGUAACAUCAGAAUAGAAUCAUGAUAAAACGUGUCAGGAAGAGAUUUCAAGAAAAAACAAACCUCAUUCUUUUUUUCUCCUUCCAGAAUCAGCUGGACACCUGCUUUCUAACCUGCUAAAACCUUCUGUUCUUAGAAGCUCCCCAUAAACUUUGACAUGUGUAGGUUGGACAAAGAAUUCAGUUCUUGACUGUUUGAGAAGUAUGGCAAUGUUAUUUAAGAAUGUUUUGACUUAUUUAUCAGCUUUGUCUUCUAGCCUAUAGCCUCCUUUCAGACAAUUACCCUCUGUUGUUUUGUAUUAUUUCUCUUUCUGUCUGAUUUUUCUUAGUUUUGGUUUCAUCUCACCAUGGAUUGAAGAUCAAGGGAAAAAUAUUCUUCCACUUUGCUUUAAUGCAACAUGAACAAAGGUGUUAGAAUGUGAUUUUCAGAAAAUAAGUCAUAAUAGUUAUAAAUUUGUGACGUACCCGUUGGGAUUACACAGGCUGGUCAUGUGCUGGCUUGAAAUCUGGGCUGAAACUGUUACAGCUCAAUUGAAAUCAACGUUGCAAAUGUAUUUACUCAGAGUGAGAUCCAUGGAGUGCAAACACCCCAGGCCUAAUAGUGGACGGAAAAUAGAAAAAGCAACUCCUACUCAUUUACUAUGAUAAAUGAUCACCUCAAGAUCCUAAUGGCCGUGGUGUUCUAUCAACAUGUUCAGCUCCUAUCCAACAUCAGGUGGGGUGGUGGUGGCGGAUGAGUGCAGAGCUCAAAUUAUGCUCUGAUCUUGGCAGGUCCUGGAUAAUUUAACAAGCAUGAUUAGAUGCUAAAUAAAUAUUGGUUUUGCAAUUUGCUCACCAGUUUUGCUCUUGGAUAAAAGAGGCUACAAAUACUGUUGCACUGGCAACAGGAACAAACAAUUUAAAAGAUCCGUUCAGACUGUGAUGAAAGCGUUUGAAGAAGAAAAUUUUGGUGGAAUCAUGUUUUGCUCUAAUGAAAACCCUCUGUUCUGCAGUAACUGAAGAAAAUCAGCAAACUCUACUCCUCAUGACUUGAAUUUAAUUGUCAAUUUAAAGGUGAAGCAGUUUUGUGAAAGGAGGAAGUCCCUCAACAGACCCUAUGUAACAGGAUAAGAGCUAAGAUGAGCUCACUUGUUUCAAUGUCAUAUUCUUUGGUUUUGAUAAAGUUUUCAUAGAUGAAGAUAUCUGGCUACACACACAUAGUUUAAUAUAAUAUAGUUAUAUUUACUUCCAAUUUUUGCCAUUGAGGGACUAUUCUUGUAGUGCUCACUUCCUUUGUCUUCACUAUAUGCAUGUGUAUUUUUGCAGUGAAAUAAAUGUAUGUACACACACAGAGUUGUGUCAGUGAAUGCCUAGUUCGUUUUUGCACUAAAAAACCCUCCUGUUGCUUUCAACUUCAGUUGAAGGAGACAGAACUUCAGAUAAGAUACGACCUGCUUUGUCCUGGGCAAAUAUGAGUGGUAAACUGUAGAAAUUGUGGUCAGUGUUUUUCCCUUUAACCCAGCAGCUGUCCUGUGCUGUGUAGUCCCUAUUCACAGUGGGUAUUUAUUACAGCUUCAUAAGAUAAUGCACAACAUUAAUGCCCUGCACACCCUUUUCAACUGCUUCUGCAAGUUAGCUCA
rnacentral:lncRNA from 1 species